rfam:Triticum aestivum genome assembly, contig: Triticum_aestivum_CS42_TGACv1_scaffold_000050_1AL
UAUCUACUCCCUCCGUUCCGAAUUACUUGUCUUGGAUUUGUCUAGAUACGGAGGUAUCUAGCACUAAAAUGAGUCUAGAUACAUCUGUAUCUAGACAAAUCCAAGACAAGUAGUUCGGAACGGAGGCAGUAGAAG